GUGUAUUCGCAUAUUCGGUGUUGAGAAGAAGCCGGGUGAAGACACCGACGCAAUAGCAGCAGAGACCAUCUGUGAGCAGGUUGGUGAAACCAUCAGUAGCAACUCCCAGAAAACCUCCCGGACAUCGCUCUAUCAUCGUGAAAUUGAAUUCCUAUAAAAAGAGAAGGCAUACUCUAGCAAAACGAAAAAACUAAA